CUGCUGUUGGUGGUGGAUGUGUUUCAACGGGUGCAAAACACGAUGGGCUUUUAGGCUGAAAUUGUACAAGAACAAAGAUCGUUAUUAGCUCGUGCUCGACCUAACAGAGAGAGAAGUACACGAGAACUAAGAAAGUGAUAAAAAUGCACGUUUGAUGAAAAAAAGUAUAAGUUCAGUGAGGUCGUAACAGGAUGGCUGUUGAUACCUGACAUCUAGCUUGUAGCCACAUACUGCACCUUGUCUCUAUUAACCAAUACAUACACGCCAACCAGUAUGCUAACCAUGGAAUAGUCCAGUAUCUAUCUUGUAAUGAUGGAUUAACUGCACUAAAACAAGAAAGAGAAAAAGACUUUGAUGACAAUAUGGACUCACCUUGUUAAUUUAUGAGUAUUGACCUGAUUAAUGAUGUGUUGACCUGGUGAUGACCCUGUGACCUUCAUAAGAAUGUGGACUCACCUUGUUGCUAUAUCAAUAUAGAAGUGAAUAUCAAGAUGAUAUCAAUGUGCUAACCUGGAGAUGACCCUGUGACCUUCAUAACAAAAUAAGCUCACCUUGUUGCUGUAUGAAUAUUGACCUCUGAGAUUGACCUUUGAGUAUUGACCUGAAGAGCAUGAUGGUUACUCCAUCAUGGUAACCCUGUGGUAAAGGGUGUUAACCCUAGAUGAAUCCCUUACAAUGUUCCAAGGAUACAUCAUUACUGAUUGCCAGCUUGUCAGCCAUUACAGAUAAGUCCAAGUUAUGAUGCUGUCAGUCUUUUGUGGGACAUUCUACACAUGACAGACAACUUACCAGCCAUUACAGUCAAGUAUCUUGUGAUGCUGUGUAGCUUUGGCCAGUAUACAUGACAGACAAUUAUACCAAAUCUGUCAUAUUCAGUCAUACCAAGCUGUUGUGCUGUAAAGCCUUGUCAGAUGAUGCAGCAUCACCAAGAGAUGAAGCACCAUCAAGAUCCAGUCAAUCAGUACUGAAGACAGUAAUCACCAACCAAUGAUAAGAAUAUAAUGCUAUCAG